UUCCAGUAAAGCUAUUGCAUCACCUGUCUCUCCCUCUGCCCUCCCUGGAUAAAUAUGGUAAUGCUGCCAGCAGCCUCUGUCCCUCCCUCUGCCCUCCCUUCUCUGGAUAAAUAUUAACACAUAAAUCCCCUAUAAAGCGCUGCUCACAUGGACACAGCUACAACCCUUCAACAGGUAACCUUCAUCUGUUUUGUCUUGGAUAGAGGACAUCAGUCAGCCAUCUACAAUCUAGAGGACAUCAGUCAGCCAUCUACAAUCUAGAGGACAUCAGCCAGCCAUCUACAAUCUAGAGGACAUCAGCCAGCCAUCUACAAUCUAGAGGACAUCAGCCAGCCAUCUACAAUCUAGAGGACA